rnacentral:sRNA from 1 species
UGGGCUGGUCGCAAGACCCUGGUCCACCAUUCGGCGGGUAAGUCACCC